rnacentral:rRNA from 1 species
AGGUGCGAUCUUACUAGCACUAAUGCACCGGAUCCCAUCAGAAUUCCACACUUAAGCAUGCUUGGGCGAUAGUAGUAGUAGGAUGGGUGACCUCCUCGGAACUCCUCGUGUUGCACCCU